rnacentral:rRNA from 1 species
UACGAAGGGGGCGAGCGUUGUUCGGAUUUACUGGGCGUAAAGGGCGCGCAGGCGGUCUUGAAAGUCAGGCGUGAAAGCCCCGGGCUUAACCUGGGAAUUGCGCUUGAUACUCUGAGACUGGAGUACGGGAGAGGAGAGUGGAAUUCCCAGUGUAGAGGUGAAAUUCGUAGAUAUUGGGAAGAACACCAGUGGCGAAGGCGGCUCUCUGGACCGUAACUGACGCUGAGGCGCGAAAGCGUGGGGAGCAAACAGGG